CAUCUUGGCGACCUUGCCGUUGCUCGGCCUUGCCUUGCCGUGGAUUGUUGUUUGUAUUUUGUAUUAUUUGUGCUUUUUAAGAAUAUUUUUUUAAUUCGGAUACUUUUAUAAUAGCUUUAAUAGUAUUAUUAACAUAGUGCAUAAAAUGGUGUCCUGUUUUUAACGCAGUUGGAGUAGCAGAAACAAAUGUAGAUAAAAAAAUCUGCAGGAAUAACGUUUCAAUUAUGACAGAAGCUCAAAACAAAUGACUGUGAAUGAAAAGCCCUAUUAAAAGCUUUCCAGAAGAUCCUGCGAAGAAGACAAGAAAGUAUAGAUUAGAUUUGUUAAUAGAGGAGUAUGUUCAAAACACUUUUUAGAAAAAGAUAUUGACAGAACUUCACUUUCAUCUGUUCGUUUGAGAGACUGUGCUGUUCCAAUAGCUUAUGUCACACAGAAUCAGCUGAGAGAAGUGGUCUACAAAAAACCAGAAAGGAAACGGAAUAUGUGGCUACGAAAAGCAAAAGAAAGGUUUACAAAGCAAAUGUGACACAUUUUUUUAUAAUAUUUAGGAAUGUCAGCAAAUUACAUUAAAAAAUGUAUGUAAAGAUUUUUUGCAAUAAAAAUGUUUAUAUUUA